AUCGCUUCUCGGCCUUUUGGCUAAGAUCAAGUGUAGUAUCUGUUCUUAUCAGUUUAAUAUCUGAUACGUCCUCUAUCCGAGGACAAUAUAUUAAGUGGAUUUUUGGAACAGGGAGAUGGAAUAGGGGCUUGCUCCGUCCACUCCACGCAUCGACCUGGUAUUGCAGUACCUCCAGGAACGGUGCACCGAAA
rnacentral:snRNA from 1 species